CCUACGGGUGGCUGCAGUGGGGAAUAUUGGACAAUGGGGGCAACCCUGAUCCAGCCAUGCCGCGUGUGUGAAGAAGGCCCUCGGGUUGUAAAGCACUUUCAGUGAGGAAGAACGCCUGGUGGUUAAUACCCAUCAGGAAAGACAUCACUCACAGAAGAAGCACCGGCUAACUCCGUGCCAGCAGCCGCGGUAAUACGGAGGGUGCGAGCGUUAAUCGGAAUUACUGGGCGUAAAGCGCGCGUAGGUGGCUUGAUAAGCCGGUUGUGAAAGCCCCGGGCUCAACCUGGGAACGGCAUCCGGAACUGUCAAGCUAGAGUGCAGGAGAGGAAGGUAGAAUUCCCGGUGUAGCGGUGAAAUGCGUAGAGAUCGGGAGGAAUACCAGUGGCGAAGGCGGCCUUCUGGACUGACACUGACACUGAGGUGCGAAAGCGUGGGUAGCAAACAGGAUUAGAUACCCGUGUAGC
rnacentral:rRNA from 1 species